rnacentral:rRNA from 1 species
CAGCAGCCACGGUAAUACGAAGGGUGCAAGCGUUACUCGGAAUUACUGGGCGUAAAGCGUGCGUAGGUGGUGGUUUAAGUCCGUUGUGAAAGCCCUGGGCUCAACCUGGGAAUUGCAGUGGAUACUGGGUCACUAGAGUGUGGUAGAGGAUAGUGGAAUUUCCGGUGUAGCAGUGAAAUGCGUAGAGAUCGGAAGGAACAUCUGUGGCGAAGGCGACUCACUGGCCCGGAACUGACGCUGAGGUACGAAAGCGUGGGGAGCAAACAGGAUUAGAUACCCCUGUAGUCCCUGUCUCUUAUAU